CCCCACACCGCACCGUCCCCUCCGCUCCCUGGCCCUACCUGUCGCCCCCAGCGUGCCCCACACUGCCAGUAGCAGCGGCGUCGGUCCGAGCCCGCUCGCCAUUCACUCAGCCGCUCUGCGUUCCGUCCUCUUGCCGUCCGCUCCGCAGGUGCCGGCCGCUGAGCAGAGCGCUGCUGUCAAUGCUUCCGCAGCCGGGGGCGGGAGAGGAGACGGGUCUUCUGCCGCGGACGCGAGCUCAGGGCGCAACCCCGAAGUAUGAAAUGACUCUGGAAACCCUCUGGAGUAGCCGGCGGCGCCGGGAGCCAGGUGAGCACGUGACUGCAGGAAGCUGACUCAGCCAGAGCUCAAACCCAGGACUCCCAUAUAUGGGCUUAUGCGGGCAUAAGGCCCAGGUGAUGUCUUUUUCUUUUUUUUUUUAGAUUCAUUUUAUUUAUUUGAAAGACAGAAUUACAUACAGAGGUAGAGCCAUAGAGAGAGCUUUUCCAUUCCUCUGGUUCACUCCCCAAAUGACCACAAAAGCCAGAGCUGAGCUUAUAGGAAGCCAAAAGCCAGGAGCUUCUUGCAGGUCUCUCACACCGGUGCAGGGUCCCAAGGCCACCCGAACCUGCUUAGAAGAAAGAAACCGUGGCUCUGGGUAUUCACUGGCCUCACAUGGUUUAAAGCAAAACCUUCAGAUACUUUUUUAUAAAAAAGAUUUAUUAAUUUAUUUAUUUGGAAGUCAGAGUUACAGAGAGAGAGGUCUUCCAUCCACUGGUUCAUUCCCCAACUGGCCACAAUGGCUCGAGCAGCACCAAUCUGAAGCCAAGAGCCACGAGCUUCUUCCAUGCUUCCCACAUGGGGCAGGGGCCAAGGACUUUGGCCAUCUUCUACUGCUUCCCCAGGCCACAGCAGAGAGCUGGAUCAGAAGUGGGGCAGCUGGGACUAGAACCGGCACCCAUAUGGGAUGCAGCACUACAGGCAGCGGCUUUACCGGCUACACCACAGCGCUGGCUCCAGUUGUUCUUCAUUGGGGAAACACUGCAAGAUAUAGGCACAGGCAAAGACUUCUUGGAGAAGACCCCCGAGGCACAGGCAGUCAAAGCCAAAAUUAACAAUUGGGGUUGCAUCAAAUUGAGAAGUUUCUGUACUGCAAAAGAAACAGUCAGGAGAGUGAAGAGACAACCGACAGAAUGGGAAAAAAUAUUUGCAAACUAUGCAACAGAUAAAGGGUUAAUAACCAGAAUCUACAAAGAGAUCAAGAAACUCCACAACAACAAAACAAACAACCCACUUAAGAGAUGGGCCAAGGACCUCAAUAGACAUUUUCCAAAAGAGGAAAUCCAAAUGGCCAACAGGCACAUGAAAAAAUGUUCAGGAUCACUAGCAAUCAGGGAAAUGCAAAUCAAAACCACAAUGAGGUUUCACCUCACCGCGGUUAGAAUGGCUCACAUUCAGAAAUCUACCAACAACAGAUGCUGGUGAGGAUGUGGGGAAAAAGGGACACUAACCCACUGUUGGUGGGAAUGCAAACUGGUAAACCCACUAUGGAAGACAGUUUGGAAAUUCCUCAGAAACCUGAAUGUAACCCUAUCAUAAAACCCAGUCAUCCCACUCCUUGGAAUUUACCCAAAGGAAAUUAAAUUGGCAAAUAAAAAAGCUGUCUGCACCUUAAUGUUUAUUGCAGCUCAAUUCACAAUAGCUAGGACCUAGAAUCAACCUAAAUGCCCAUCAACAUUACCCUGGAUAAAGAAAUUAUGGGAUAUGGACUCUAUACAAUACUAUACAGUAGUAAAAAACAACAAAAUCCAGUCAUUUGCAACAAGAUGGAGGAAUCUGGAAAACAUUAUGCUGAGUGAAAUAAAGCAGUCCCAAAGGGACAAAUAUCACAUGUUCUCCCUGAUUGGUGACAACCAACCGAGUACCAAAAAAGGAAACCUGUUGAAGUGAAAUGGACACUAUGAGAAACAUUGACUUGAUAAGCCCUAGUCCUGACUGUUGAUGAACAACUUAAUACUUUAUCCCUUUUAGUAUUUUUUUUGUUCUACUUAAUACUAUUGGUUGAACUCUGUAAUUAACACACAAUUAUUCUUAGGUAUUUAAAUUUAACUGAAAAGUGAUCCCUGUUAAAUAUAAGAGUGGGAAUAAGAGAGGGAGGAGAUGUACAGUUUGGGACAUGCUCAUUCGGACUUACCCCUGAUGGCAGAGCUAGAAACAUGCUGGGGAUUUCAAUUCAAUCCCAUCAAGGUGGCAUGUACCAAUGCCAUCUCACUAGUCCAAGUGAUCAAUUGCUGUUCACAAUUGAUCAUAAUGAUAGGAUUAAGAGUCAAAGGGAUCACAUAAACAAGACUAGUGUCUGUUAAUAUUAACUGAUAGAAUUAAAACGAGAGAACGAUCCAAUACGGAAAGAAGGAUACACAGCAGACUCAUAGAAUGGCAGAUGUUGUAAAAGCACUCUGGCCUCAGAAUCAGCCCUUAAGGCAUUCAGAUCUGGCUGAAGAGCCCAUGAGAGUAUUUUAGGCAUGGAAAGCUAAGAUGCUCUGGCAAAAAAAAAAAAAAAAAACUAAAUGAAA